AUUGAACGCUGGCGGCAUGCCUUACACAUGCAAGUCGAACGGCAGCACGGGUGCUUGCACCUGGUGGCGAGUGGCGAACGGGUGAGUAAUACAUCGGAACGUACCUUAUCGUGGGGAAUAACGCAGCGAAAGUUGCGCUAAUACCGCAUACGCCCUGAGGGGGAAAGCGGGGGACCGUAAGGCCUCGCGCGAUUAGAGCGGCCGAUGUCUGAUUAGCUUGUUGGUGAGGUAAAAGCACACCAAGGCGAUGAUCAGUAGCUGGUCUGAGAGGACGAUCAGCCACACUGGGACUGAGACACGGCCCAGACUCCGACGGGAGGCAGCAGGGGGGAAUUUUGGACAAUGGGGGCAACCCUGAUCCAGCAAUGCCGCGUGAGUGAAGAAGGCCUUCGGGUUGUAAAGCUCUUUUGUCAGGGAAGAAACAGCAGCUCUAACACAGUCUGCGAAUGACGGUACCUGAAGAAUAAGCACCGGCUAACUACGUGCCAGCCGCCGCCGUAA
rnacentral:rRNA from 1 species